UGAGGAAUAUUGGUCAAUGGACGAGAGUCUGAACCAGCCAAGUAGCGUGCAGGAUGACGGCCCUAUGGGUUGUAAACUGCUUUUGUUUGGGAAUAAUCGACAUUACGUGUAAUGUUUUGCAUGUACCAUUCGAAUAAGGACCGGCUAAUUCCGUGCCAGCAGCCGCGGUAAUACGGAAGGUCCAGGCGUUAUCCGGAUUUAUUGGGUUUAAAGGGAGUGUAGGCGGUUGGUUAAGCGUGUUGUGAAAUGUAGAUGCUCAACAUCUGACUUGCAUCGCGAACUGGCUGACUUGAGUACGCACAACGUAGGCGGAAUUCAUGGUGUAGCGGUGAAAUGCUUAGAUAUCAUGAAGAACUCCGAUUGCGAAGGCAGCUUACGGGAGUGUUACUGACGCUUAAGCUCGAAGGUGCGGGUAUCGAACAGG
rnacentral:rRNA from 1 species